rnacentral:rRNA from 1 species
AUUGAACGCUGGCGGCAUGCCUUACACAUGCAAGUCGAACGGUAACGGGCCUUCGGGUGCCGACGAGUGGCGAACGGGUGAGUAAUGCAUCGGAACGUACCUUUCAGUGGGGGAUAACGUAGCGAAAGUUACGCUAAUACCGCAUAUUCUGUGAGCAGGAAAGCAGGGGAUCGCAAGACCUUGCGCUGAUUGAGCGGCCGAUGUCAGAUUAGCUAGUUGGUGAGGUAAAGGCUCACCAAGGCGACGAUCUGUAGCGGGUCUGAGAGGAUGAUCCGCCACACUGGAACUGAGACACGGUCCAGACUCCUACGGGAGGCAGCAGUGGGGAAUUUUGGACAAUGGGGGAAACCCUGAUGCAGCGACGCCGCGUGAAGGAAGAAGGCCCUCGGGUUGUAAACUUCUUUUGACCAGGGACGAAGAAAGUGACGGUACCUGGAGAACAAGCCACGGCUAACUACGUG